CCUUCCACACUUCGGUAUCAUUUGAGGGGACCACGCUCUUCACUCCCCUGCACUCCGUAUCAAUAAUUCCUGCUUCUGGCCAGGCGCGGUGGCUCACGCCUGUAAUCCCAGCACUUUGGGAGGCUGAGGUGGGCGGAUCACAAGGCAUGGCCCAUGUCCCUGGGAACAGUAGAGACUGAGGCCUGGGUCUCAGUGGCAUCAAUUAGAGCCUUUCCCUGGGACUGAUGUACGAGUGUCUCUUUCUGUUGGCAUCUUUAAAUGAGAAGAUAAAAAUCCAGGUUAUCAUUAGCCACAUUCACUGGUCAAGAAAAAGGCCUCUGCAGAACACAGCUGAGCAGAACCACACAGAAGUGGAAGAAGCAAAGAGGUUUCCAGAAGACUAGGAUGGUCGGCAGAGAGUAUCCGAAUUAUUGCUCCAUGCUGCGAGAUCCCUGUUCCUAGGAAAGCCGAGGUCUGCCUUCCAAUGUGCAAUUCUAGCUUAAUAGGGAAGUUAUAUCACUGUUGACAGUCUUGUCCUUUCUUAAUAAAUCUUAGGAGUUAUCCCAUAAGGAAUAUUCAUUUUCCUUCAGACAUGAAGUGACCAUUAAGAUGCGCCAGUAAAGAAUCCAUGGCUUUCAGUGUCUGGCCCUAUUUCUUCUAGUUCAAGAAUUUUAAGAAAAAAUAUUGCAAUAAAAGGUAUAUUUUUAUUAGCUACAAAGUGGAUACAUUUCUUGUUUCUCAAAAAAAAAAAUGUGUUAUUCUGAAAAUGUUCAAAUAGCCAGGAUUUAUAUUUUGCUAAAGUUAGAUUUUAAAUAAAAGAUUCCUGCUUAAUUAUAAAGAGAGAAUAUUUACUGAUAGAAAAUGUCUCUAUAAAUGGAAACAUGUUUUCAUGCUGCCCCUGACACCCGUCGGGGGUGGCAAGAGAGUGGAGAGUGGAGAUUGCUCAACACCAAAGGUGAAGCUGGGUCAUCAAAGGGCAGGAAGAAUUAUGAUGGCUGAAAAUAACAACAGAGGGGACCCACAGCAAAGUCCAACCUUAGCCUCCACCAAUAAAUAAAUGUACCACCAAUAGAUAAAUUAAAAAAGUGACCUUCUCUGUGUCUGAGGGUUAUUGACUAUCCAUUUUAUUUUUUUUCUGCCACUUAUUAAUACCUGUUUGCAUAGAGAGAUACUUGCAUUUUAUGCAAUCAGGAAUAGAAAGCAGUUCCCUUUGAAAAUAUUACAAGAGAAGGUUGAUAAGCAUAUAUGUGUAUGGAGAGGCAUGAAAUCAACAUUUAUUGAUACCUACCAUGUGCUGGAAUCUGAGCUAAGAUGCUUUUGUAUGUGUUUUCCUAACUAAAUAAUUAUAUCCCUACCAUUUAAAGAUCUAUGAUACUAAGAAGUUAAUUAACUUGCUCCAGAUGAGAUAGCUGCCAAAUAUGAAAAACAGUCCCAAUGUCCUGUUGUGAUGUUCAAGUCACAUCACACUAUAUUUUCUCACUUAUACAAUAGACCAGCACUUUCCAAUCACAAGUUUCGCAAUGAUGGGAAUGUUCUAUAUCGAUGCUGCUCAAAAUGGCACUAGCCUCAUGUGACUAUUGGACCUUUGAAAUUUGGCUACUGUGAGUGAGAAACUGAAUUUUACAUUUAAUUUUAUUUUAAUUAAUUAAAAUAAAAUUUCUGUCACCCAGGCUGGAGUGCAGUGCCAUGAUUAUGGCUCACUGCAACUUUAAACUCUUGGGUUCAAGUGAUCCUUCUGCUUCAGCCUCCCAAGUGGCUGGGACUAUAGGUUUGCACCACCAGACUCCACUAUUUUUUUUUAAUUUUGUAGAAAUGAGGUCUGGCUAUGUUUGGCCAGGCAGGUCUUGAACUCCUGGCCUCAAGUGAUCCUACUGCUCAGCCUCCAAAAGUGCUAGGAUUACAGGCAUGAGCUACUGUACCCACCCUAAAUUAUAUUUAAGCAAACACACGUGGCUACUAUAUGAGAUAACAAAUGUCUAGCCAGAAACUUUGUUUUAAUGAGAAUUGUAAAGGUUCUUUCAACUCUUAUUUUUCUCCCCAGUCUGGCAUCACUGUUUCUCCCCAACUCUUGUUUAUCUCUCAAAAUGCAAUCCUUAGAUAUCAGCAAUAAAGACAUCUGCAAAGUAUAUCUUCCAUGAAAGCAAUAAGAAUAGCUCAACAAAUUGCAUGUAGGAUCACUCAAAGAGAUCUAUUUCUAGAUAUUACAAUUAAAUUGUUGAAAGCCAAAGACCAUCUUGAAGGCAGAAAGGGAGAAGUUAUGGAUCGUAUGCAAGGGAUGCUCAAUAAGAUUAACAUAUGUCUCAUCAGAAACCGUGGAGGCCAGCAGGCAGUAGCAUGGCAUGUUCAAAGUGCUGAAAUACAGACUGCCAAUCAAUAAUUUUAUAGCCUGCAAAACUAUCCUUUAAAAAUGAAAAAAAAAAUUAAGAUACUCCCGGGUAAACAACAACUGAGACAAUCUGUUGCCAAUAGACUUACUCAAAAGAAAUUUUAAAAGGAACCUGAAAGAAGGCUGAAAUGAAAGAACACUAGACUGUAACGCAAAUCCACCUGAAAAUUCAAGGAGCACCAGUAAAGUUAAAUACAGAGGUAAAUAUAAAGCACAGUAUACAUGUAUAUUUUUUCUACUAUCUUAUUUUUAAAACAACUUUCUAAAACAAUAAUUAUGAAUCAUUAUUGAUGGAUGCCCAGUAUAGAAAGAUGUAAUAUGUAUAACAAUACAACAAAGGAGAAAAGAUUAAAUGGAGGUAAGUAAGAGCAAAGCUAGUACUUACUAUGGAAAUUAGAUUGGCCUUAAUCUGAUCCAGAUAGUCAUAAGCUAUGACAUUAAUUGUAACUCUCAGGGUAACCACUAUGAAAAUAACUCAAAAAUACAUAGUUAAAGAAAUGACAAGAGAAGUAAAUUGCUACCGUAGAAAAAUUUAUUUAACAUAUAACAGACAGCAACAGAGGAAGGCGGGGAAAUAUGUAGAAAAUAUGUAGAAAUAUGUAGAAAACAAAUAGAAACAUCAUGGAAAUAAAUGUUACAUUACCAGCAGUUAUAUUACAGGUACAUUUAUUAAACAUUCCUAAAAUGGCAGAGAAUAGAUAAAGAAUUAAAAAGAAAACAUGAUCCAACUAUAUGCCAUCUGCAAGAGACACACAUUAGAAUCAAAGACACAAAUGAAUUGAAAGUAAAAGGAUGUAAAAAGAGAUAUUAUGCAAAUAGUGACCAAAAGAGAGCCAGAUUAGCUAUAUUAAUACCAGCCAAAAUAAACUAUCAUCUACUUUGUGGUAGAUAGAAUCAUGAAAGAGAGAAAUAUUCAAUUCAACAGUAAUGGUUGGAAAUUUUAAUAUACCAUCUUCAAUGAUGAGUGAGUCAACUAGACAGAAAAUAAGAGAAAAUCAAAUACUUGAACAACAAUAUAAACCAACAAAGCCUCACAUAUCUAUAGAACAUUCCAUUCAACAGCAGCAGAAUGAAUAUUCUUCUCCAGUGCAUUCUUCAUAUAGACCAUAUGCUCGGCCAUAAAAUAUAUUUCAGCAAAUUUAAAAGGCUUCAAAUUACAGAAAGUAUAUUCUCUGAACGUACGGAAUAAAACUAAAAGUAAAUAACAGAAGCAAAUUUUGGAAAUUCAUCAACAUGGCAAUUUCACCACACAUUCCC
rnacentral:lncRNA from 1 species